UGAGGAAUAUUGGUCAAUGGGCGUAAGCCUGAACCAGCCAAGUAGCGUGAGGGAAGACUGCCCUAUGGGUUGUAAACCUCUUUUGUGCGGGGAUAAAGUGUGGGACGUGUCCCAUAUUGCAGGUACCGCACGAAUAAGGACCGGCUAAUUCCGUGCCAGCAGCCGCGGUAAUACGGAAGGUCCGGGCGUUAUCCGGAUUUAUUGGGUUUAAAGGGAGCGCAGGCCGUCCUUUAAGCGUGCUGUGAAAUGCCGCGGCUCAACCGUGGCACUGCAGCGCGAACUGGAGGACUUGAGUACGCACGAGGUAGGCGGAAUUCGUGGUGUAGCGGUGAAAUGCUUAGAUAUCACGAAGAACUCCGAUUGCGAAGGCAGCUUACCGGAGCGCAACUGACGCUGAGGCUCGAAAGCGCGGGUAUCGAACAGGAUUAGAUACCCUGGUAGUCCGCGCGGUAAACGAUGGAUGCCCGCCGUUGGGGUUUAGAUUUCAGCGGCCAAGCGAAAGCGUUAAGCAUCCCACCUGGGGAGUACGCCGGCAACGGUGAAACUCAAAGGAAUUGACGGGGGCCCGCACAAGCGGAGGAACAUGUGGUUUAAUUCGAUGAUACGCGAGGAACCUUACCCGGGCUUGAAUUGCAGGAGAACGAUCCAGAGAUGGUGAGGCCCUUCGGGGCUCCUGUGAAGGUGCUGCAUGGUUGUCGUCAGCUCGUGCCGUGAGGUGUCGGCUCAAGUGCCAUAACGAGCGCAACCCCUGUCCAUAGUUGCCAUCAGGUCGUGCUGGGCACUCUGUGGAGACUGCCGCCGUAAGGUGUGAGGAAGGUGGGGAUGACGUCAAAUCAGCACGGCCCUUACGUCCGGGGCUACACACGUGUUACAAUGGGGCAUACAGCGAGUUGGAUGUGCGCAAGUACGUCCGGAUCAAUAAAGUGCCUCUCAGUUCGGACUGGGGUCUGCAACCCGACCCCACGAAGCUGGAUUCGCUAGUAAUCGCGCAUCAGCCAUGGCGCGGUGAAUACGUUCCC
rnacentral:rRNA from 1 species